GGUGGCUGCUGGUUCCUACUCUUUCCCUCCAGCCCUCCUUUCAACCUGGCUCUGGGGAGGCAGCCCUUCCCCAACCCUUGCAAAAGGCUUUGAGCUCAAAAGAAGCUCAUAAACUUGUUUCCCUGGCGCUCCCCGGGUCUCCCCACCCUGAUGUGGCUUCAGCCGCAUCGGCCUUGCAAAGCAGCCGGGCUCCCACCGCCUUCCAUGCCAGGGAGAUGCUCUCCUUGGCUUCCUCAAACGCGUGACCCUGUGGGGUCUGAAGGAUUCUCUCACCUCCUGCCCUUACGUUUCACUGGAAGAUUGCGUGCUUCUGGACAGCAAACCCCCUCUGACCCUCCUCUGAGGAGAGGGAAAUAUCUGUAAUGCUCCUGAUGGUACUUAAGGCACAUGGUGUCUCUGAUGGUACAGGAGAUAUCGCCUAUCACCGUCACCUGCAGCACCCCAACUCUGCUGGGCUGCUUCAGUUUGUGCUCACUGGAACAAGUUCUUCAUAGCAAUGUUAAAAGUGGGCAAGUGAGAUAUCCAAGUUUUAAAAAUAUUAGGGGUUGAAAAAAAAAAAUUGUCUUUUCUGUUAACUCAAGUAGAUCAAAUAAGGUGGUGGAAACCUGCCAAAUCAGCUUUGCCAUGAGAGGAAACUACUCCAUGCAGCUACCCCUCCCAGUAGAGCUCGUUCCUGUGAAACACAAGCCUGCAAAGCAGAAGAAGAUGAUGCACAGGAGUGAUAGUGCCAAUGAAAAGAAGACCUACUGGAGGUGUGAGAAACUCAUCCGUGUUUCAAGAACUUGGUGAAAUAAGAGUUCUGAGACAAUUGAAAGACUUUAAGAGACUGAGCCUACAGAAAACAAGGUAACUUCCUCCAACAAAAAGCAUCACAAUGCAGCUUUUCAGAAAGAAAAUUCCCGGCUUGAAGAUGUUCCAAAGCACAUUUUCUCCCAAGAGUUCUUGCUAAAGGAAAGAAAAUACAAAAGGAAGAAUAUUGCAAAAGAGAAGAAAAUCCACCUAACUCGAACCACAGCCAUUUUCUUGUCUGAUAAGUCCAAAGCCAGGUGGCUAGAAUAAAAGAUUGGUGUUUAUCUGUUAGAAGAUCUGGGGCUGAUUCAUUCUAUUUACUGCAGCAAGCUCACCUGUGAGGCUUUAUAGAUGCCUUGGGGGAAAAAAAGCUCAGCAGGGGUUAACUUCUUGUUGUGGGGGAAGAAAGGAGAGGUGAGAUUUGAGUUUUAAUUGAUGCAAGGGGAAAUCCCCUCUCUUUUAUAUACUGGUUCAGAGAAAAACACAGGUAAUAACAAUAAUAAAAAAAAGUCUUAGGAGCACAAUUCUUUAAGCAUUUCCAGGUCAUCCUGGAGAUGGGGGAAGGGAGUUAUCAUUAUAAAAGCAUCCCCCGAGGUUCAGUAGGGAACUCAGUUGUGAGAUUUGUAGGAAGCUUUAACUUGUGUGAAAUCUGCGAGUUUAUUGCUUGAAUUAACUCUGAGCUGAGGAAUAAAGUAUACUUAAUGCACUUUUAAAGCACUGUUUUACUUCCCCGUUUGUUUCUAUAAAAAGAUGCUUUCCAGGCAGAUCUGUGUAGUAUAUUUGUCCCUCUGGGUUUUACCUUAAUUUGCUUGCUUGAU